UACGAGAGGCCCAAACGUUUAUUCGGAAUUACUGGGCUUAAAGAGUUCGUAGGCGGCAUGAAAAGUAGGGUGUGAAAGCCCUCGGCUCAACCGAGGAAUUGCGCUCUAAACUGUCGUGCUCGAGGAAUCUAGAGGUGAGCGGAACUGAUGGUGGAGCGGUGAAAUGCGUUGAUAUCAUCAGGAACACCGGAGGCGAAGGCGGCUCACUGGGGAUUUUCUGACGCUGAGGAACGAAAGCCAGGGGAGCGAACGGG
rnacentral:rRNA from 1 species